AGCACCUGACACAGCACAGGCCCAGCAACUUCCCAGAGCAGGGGACAAGUAGGUGCAGCUCCCAGCUGGUACCCCCAACAGGUGGCAGAAGACCAGAGAAACGUGCGUCCACCUAAGGAAUGCCGCAAGCAGUCAGACAGUGGCUGCAGACAGAGCUGGGUGGCAGACAGAACCCACGAACCGGGAGCGCAGUGACCAGACUAGACCCAAGGGUGCGGAAACCUAGGUUUCUUCUGUCAGCUACUGUGGGUGCUGAGCGGCAGAACCACCUCUUCCCUGUGGGCAGAGCGGCUGGGGCAGAGCGGGAAGCUAGCACUUUGUGCCAGCUGAGCUGCAGAAGGGGCCUACCCCCUUAGUAGCUUGGUAGGGUGCAGAAGCUUGGAACAGCAGAUAGAACACCAAGGAAAAGUACACGGAGAGAAAAACCACACCAGCUGCAUGGAGCAUUCACCAGCCAGACAGAGAAAAAGAAACAAGUGCCGGGACUGAGAAGAGCUCAUCAGCUCCAGUUUGUGUUAUCUAUAUAAUUCUGGCUGUGGCAGCAUCCACUCAAGUGUGGUCUAUCUACUAGGAACCACACCCUUCAAGAAAACUGACUGCUCUUUCCCCAGAAGACAUCAACUCUCUAUAGCUCCUCAGUUAGAGGAACGGGCACUGAACCGGAAGUCCAUGCUUCGUCUGCAGGAAGAUCCGACUGUUAGUGGCUUCUGGGUUGAACCAGAUGAAGCUCACAAUCCCGGGUCCUGCUUCCCUCAGGAAUGGCUGGAGUUCCCAGAACAAGGUCCAUUUCACAGAACUUCCCGUCUCACAGGGAUGUGAAGAAGAGUUUUUCCAUGGAGUGUGACAGUUAGCUCUUUGAAUGAGAUGGUCGGUACCAGGCGGCAGCAACACCACGGGAGCCCAGAUGGAUUCAGGCAGACGGAAUGGCUGCUUCGGCAACAGCCAGUAACGAAGGCCCGGACACAGGGAUAGCAGCCUGGUUGGGUUUUGAGUGGACAGAAUGGCUGUUUUGAGAACAGCAGGCCGCUCACUCCUGAAGAUGAGCACUUCCGUGGGCAGAGCAGCAUGAAGGACUGAAAUCUCUGCUGACCCGCUGGUAAACAGCAGAAGCCGUCAGCAGAACCGGAUGAGCUCCAGCACUGACCGUGGAGGUUCUCUGGGGAGAAUGGGAGUCUUUCCUUCCCCAGGGUUACAGCUCAGAAUAAAUGCCCAGUCUAAGUGGA